rnacentral:rRNA from 1 species
AAUGCCUAGGAAUCUGCCUGGUAGUGGGGGAUAACGUUCGGAAACGGACGCUAAUACCGCAUACGUCCUACGGGAGAAAGCAGGGGACCUUCGGGCCUUGCGCUAUCAGAUGAGCCUAGGUCGGAUUAGCUAGUUGGUGAGGUAAUGGCUCACCAAGGCGACGAUCCGUAACUGGUCUGAGAGGAUGAUUAGUCACACUGGAACUGAGACACGGUCCAGACUCCUACGGGAGGCAGCAGUGGGGAAUAUUGGACAAUGGGCGAAAGCCUGAUCCAGCCAUGCCGCGUGUGUGAAGAAGGUCUUCGGAUUGUAAAGCACUUUAAGUUGGGAGGAAGGGUUGUAGAUUAAUACUCUGCAAUUUUGACGUUACCGACAGAAUAAGCACCGGCUAACUCUGUGCCAGCAGCCGCGGUAAUACAGAGGGUGCAAGCGUUAAUCGGAAUUACUGGGCGUAAAGCGCGCGUAGGUGGUUUGUUAAGUUGGAUGUGAAAUCCCCGGGCUCAACCUGGGAACUGCAUUCAAAACUGACUGACUAGAGUAUGGUAGAGGGUGGUGGAAUUUCCUGUGUAGCGGUGAAAUGCGUAGAUAUAGGAAGG